rnacentral:rRNA from 1 species
GACGAACGCUGGCGGCGUGCUUAACACAUGCAAGUCGAGCGGUAAGGCCCUUUCGGGGGUACGACGAGCGGCGAACGGGUGAGUAACACGUGGGUGACCUGCCCUCAGCUCUGGGAUAAGCCUGGGAAACCGGGUCUAAUACCGGAUAUGACUCCAUGACGCAUGUUGUGGGGUGGAAAGCCUUGUGCGGCUGAGGAUGGGCCCGCGGCCUAUCAGCUUGUUGGUGGGGUGAUGGCCUACCAAGGCGACGACGGGUGGCCGGCCUGAGAGGGCGACCGGCCACACUGGGACGUGAGACACGGCCCAGACUCCUACGGGAGGCAGCAGUGGGGAAUCUUGCGCAAUGGGCGAAAGCCUGACGCAGCGACGCCGCGUGAGGGAUGACGGCCUGG